AGAAACAUCUUAUUUAAACUAAUAAAGAAGUAAUAGUAGUGGCGAACGAACUUACAUACACAAACAAUAAUAAUUAGAUUUGUUAAAAUCUAAGUGAUUCUAAAUGUGACUAAUAAUGAUAGUACUGUGAAGGAAAAUCAUUCAUUUAUUAUUAAUCCUCCAAAUUUUCUGUUGUAAUUCAACGUACCUUUUGUAUAAUGGGCUUACUAGAAAAUACUUAAUUAGUAAUAUAGCAUAUUAUAAUAAUAUAAAAUCAAGUACUCCCGAAACUAAGUGAUUUAUUCUAGGACAACAUAUAGUGUGAACCAAUAACUGUUGCAAAAGUUUUGGAUGAUCUUAGAAUAGAGGUGAAAUACUAACCGAACUUAGAAAUAGCUGGUUUUCUACGAAACUCUUAUAAGAGAAAUAUUUAAAAUUUAUAUAUUUAUAAAAUUAUAAAUGAUAUAUAAAUAAAUAUAUUUUACCAGACUAUUAAUGAUAAGAUUAAUGGUCAAAAGAGAAACAACUCAAACCAAAAGUUAAAGACACCAAUAAAAUAAGUGCAUCACAACAAAAAGUAAAAAUACAAACUCAGUAGGCUUGGAAGCAGCCAUCUACCAACCAGUGCGUAAUAGCAGUUUUUAAGAAUAUAUUUGCUAAAAAUUAAGGUGACUAAAAAAUCUUAAACUUUGGAAUUAGUAGUAGAAUAGACUAUAAAAAUAGUGGAAAUAAUGUAAGCAUGAAUAAUAAAAAAUUCCAAGGUUUUGAAAUUUAUACGACCCAUAAAAAAUAUAGGUUAACUAACUAAAAUGAAAUUCGAGAAAACAGUAGUUAAACAUAAUCGUACUUUCAAACCAUGAGGAAUAAAAAAAGAAUUAAUUCUUCUUAAGGAACUCGGCAAGAUUAAUAAUUAUUUAACUAAAAGAUCGGCUGUUUACCAAAAACAUAGCCUUACUAUACAUAUGUAAGGUGAAACCUGCUCAAUGGUUGUCAAUAAUUACAUAAAAACAAUUAAAUAGCCGCGGUAACUCUGACCGUGAUAAAGUAGCAUAAUCACUCGUCAUUUAAUUGGUGACUGGAAUGAAUGGUUACACGAAUCUUUAACUGUCUCAAGAAGAAAGUUCAAUUAAUUUGAAAAAACAGUGAAGAUGCUGUUAACAAAAUUGUAAGACGAAAAGACCCUUUCGAGCUUUACUAUAAGCUUAUAGAAAAAAUCUUUAAUAAAAAUAUAAUAAAAACAAACUGUAAGCUAGUUAGUUUGGUUGGGGCGACCACCUCUAAAACAGUAUCAGAGGAAAUCUAAAGGUAUAAUAGUAAUAUUAAUUGCCUUACUGUAUACAAACAAGUUAAUCAGUUACUAUUAUGUAGGAUAUAAUGACCCGUUGAAUUAAUUUCAAAAUUCAACGACCAUGAAAAAAGUUACCGUAGGGAUAACAGGGUAAUAUUAUCAAAGAGUUCAUAUCGAUGAUGAUGUUUGCCACCUCGAUGUUGAAUUGUGAUAUCCUGAGGGUGUAGCAGCUCUCAAGGGUCGGUCUGUUCGACCGUUAAAAUCAUACAUGAUUUGAGUUCAUUCCGUCGUAAGACAGGAAGGUUUCUAUCUACAAUAAAGAACUUUUAUUAAACUUUAGUACGAAAGGAAUUAGUUAUUUUGUUACAAUAAUAUUUAAAUUUAAUUUGACUUCAUAUAAAAUUAAUAUUAAAGUUCAACAAUUAUAUAUUU
rnacentral:rRNA from 1 species